rnacentral:rRNA from 1 species
UGCGGAGGGAUCAUUACCGAGUUUACAACUCCCAAACCCCUGUGAACAUACCUAUACGUUGCCUCGGCGGAUCAGCCCGCGCCCCGUAAAACGGGACGGCCCGCCCGAGGACCCCUAAACUCUGUUUUUAGUGGAACUUCUGAGUAAAACAAACAAAUAAAUCAAAACUUUCAACAACGGAUCUCUUGGUUCUGGCAUCGAUGAAGAACGCAGCAAAAUGCGAUAAGUAAUGUGAAUUGCAGAAUUCAGUGAAUCAUCGAAUCUUUGAACGCACAUUGCGCCCGCCAGUAUUCUGGCGGGCAUGCCUGUUCGAGCGUCAUUUCAACCCUCAAGCUCAGCUUGGUGUUGGGACUCGCGGUAACCCGCGUUCCCCAAAUCGAUUGGCGGUCACGUCGAGCUUCCAUAGCGUAGUAAUCAUACACCUCGUUACUGGUAAUCGUCGCGGCCACGCCGUUAAACCCCAACUUCUGAAUGUUGACCUCGGAUCAGGUAGGAAUACCCGCUGAACUUAAGCAU